GACGGCUGUAACUAUAACGGUCCUAAGGUAGCAAAUUUCCUUGUCGUCUUAAUAACGACCUGCAUGAAACAUAGAACGAUUUGAUAGCUGUCUUGCACACACAUCAUGGUAAAAUAUUCAUCAGUACAAAUAAUAUGCUGCUGACACUAAAGGACAAAAAGACCCUUUGAAGCUUUAUAGGGAUAAAACUCAUUUACAUUUCACAUUGUUCAUUAUUAUUAAUCUUGUUGCUUCUCCGCAAACCUGUGUUGUAGUCGAAGGGUUUUCUGUUCGACCCAACAUUAAUUGCUAAAGCCUUACAAGAUUUACAACAUCAAGACCACUGUUUAAUUGGGGCGAUAACCUUAUCCACAGCCACCUAAGGUGAACAAAGCGAUACAAGGAUCCUAAAUACUAAUUUGACCAACUAAUAAGUGCAAAGAUACAUGUUUUGCUUAAUGGCCCAACAAGUCCUUCCCAGUACUUAAAUGCUAUCUUAAUGAGCUUUAAAUUAAUUUACCAGAGUGAAGCUACUCUACGGAUAACAGGCUUAAUUUCCGCAAUAUCCAAGGUCACAUUAUCAAGAAUAAAGCACCUCGAUGUCGACUUAUCUCAACCAAGGUAAGUAGCCCAAAUAUUGGUGGGAGUGCUCAUCCCGUAAAAAGGUACGUGAGCUGGGUUCAAUACG
rnacentral:rRNA from 1 species